GAAAAGUAAAUCACCCUUCGAUUACAAGUAUGCUGCUACUGAGGAUCAGCUCCAUGAUGAUCCAAAUGUAGCUCUUUUCUUCUUUGAGAAGAACAUGCAACCUGGGACAAAGAUGGAGUUGCACUUCAUUAGGGAUGCAAAUCUAGCCACCUUCUUGCCUCGUCAAGUUGCCAACUCCAUACCUUUUUCAUCCAAAAAAUUCCCAGAAAUUCUGAACGAGUUCUCGAUAAAACCAGAAUCAGAAGAAGCUGAGACAAUCAAGAACACAAUCAGAGAGUGUGAGGAGCCUGGGAUUAAAGGAGAGGAAAAGUAUUGUGCAACUUCACUAGAAUCCAUGGUUGAUUUCAGCACCUCAAAGCUUGGAAAAGGUGUUCAGGUGAUUUCAACAGAGGUGGAGAAGGAAACCCCGGAGCAGCAGUACACAAUUACAACUGGGGUGAAGAAGCUGGCAGGUGACAAAGCUGUGGUGUGUCACAAGCAGAGCUAUCCCUAUGCAGUGUUUUACUGCCACAAGACUCAGACCACAAGGGCUUAUAUGGUUCC
rnacentral:lncRNA from 1 species